rnacentral:lncRNA from 1 species
CCCUCGCCCCCUCCCCAAGUGCAUUAAUAAUGACUCCAACUGGUGAAACCGAUGCAGACGAAGAGAUGGAAGAAGCAACUUCAUGGUUACUGCUAAACCCUGUCAAGAAUAGUGAAAAUCAAGUGAACAAUGAAGUUGAUGCUUAUUUAGACCUGAAUGAGUACAAUUCAUGUCAAGAAAUUCACUUCACUGAUGAUCAGUACAACAAUCAGAAGCAACGUUAUAAUGUUCCUGAUGAUGAUAAAAAAAUGUACGGUAGUGAUAGUGUUGUGCCAGUUCAGUAUGGAUCAAAGGGUAAAGAAGAGGUUGAUCUAAACAGUUUUCAGUUAGGGAUCGAGUUUGAUAUCUCCAAUGAUGGCUACGGUUAUCCAGUUAUGGAUAUUGGAGUUGUACCAGAAUCAAGAUUGAGUGAAGUUUCUUCAUCAGUCUCCCAGCAAAGACCCUCUAAAGACACAGUUGAUCUUUUCUCAAAUUCACCUAUCCAGAUGCCAAC